rnacentral:rRNA from 1 species
UAAAACGUAGGAGGCAAGCGUUAUCCGGAUUUACUGGGCGUAAAGCGCAUGCAGGUGGUUUUGUAAGUUGGAUGUGAAAGCUCCUGGCUUAACUGGGAGAGGUCGUUCAAAACUACAAGACUUGAGAUUGGUAGAGGAAAAUGGAAUUCCGGGUGUAGUGGUGAAAUGCGUAGAUAUCCGGAGGAACACCAGUGGCGAAAGCGGUUUUCUGGACCAAUUCUGACACUCAGAUGCGAAAGCUAAGGUAGCAAACGGG